CUGGCCAUUACACUUCCAAGUCCCAAUUCUCAGCAUCUUCUUGGUGCAAUCAAACAGUUUCAGGUAAUUUCGUUGAGGUUCCCGUCCAGGAAACAUUGAACCUAUGGCAGAUGCUAGUACAGUAAUUCAUCACAGUAGCUGGACAAAUAUUUGAUCUAAUUUAUUUAGAUAUUCAAUUCCUGGAAUGUUCAUUUUGCAAACUCUGCUUUCGCUUUCAGCAUGCCUGAAAAUAAAUUAGGCAUUUCCAAUACAUAGAAACAUGUACACACAAGAAGUUCAGGGAUUAUCUCAAAUUUGCUGGUAAUAAGGGAUGCAUUUCAUGCUUUCUUCAAAUGCAAAUACCAAAUAUCAAGAAAUAGCCUCAAUUCUAAAAAUUUUAUCACGACGGUUUCAUUUAUGCAAAGAUGAAACCAUCUAGAAUCACCUCUGCCAUGCAAGUAGGCUAUUAUCUGAGGUGAUUGCUGAAACCCAAAAGGUUUUGUUUUGCCUGCAUGAGCCAAGAGUAAGGUAUUUGUUGCCUGAUAUGCUAGACAUUUUGGCAGUGGAUAUACCCAAGCCCACAAUCCUGAUUAAAGUGUGAAUCAAAGUGAUCUUCACCAACACAUUUUUCACCAGCAUAGAAGUUUUAUACAAGCAAUAUACAGACUACAGUUCAUCAGUUUUCAUUUGGACAGGUUCUCAAGUUGACUAAAGUGUCGAGGUAUGAGAAGGGAGGAUAAACCAUGUGAAUUCACCUUAGAAUUUUCUGAACUUUCAUAUUCUGCAAGACAAUCCAUAAAGAGCUCUUUUCAGUGUGAAUCAACAAAAUACACCAUCUUUUCAACAGCUAACAAUAUUUUUUUUGCCCAUAUAAAAUAGAUCAUCGCAUAUUAAAAUACAAUUUCAAAGUCACCACUCCUUUUCAUAAAAUGUAGCUAAGAAGGGCAAAGGGAAAAAGAAUCUCCAUCACAUACAAUGUACUCCCCCAACUGGUAAUCACAUCAAAGGGGGGGAAACUAAAAAAUAAUACAAGCCUUUUCAUUUUUAACCUAUUCUGAAAAUCAGAUGCAAAAGCAAUAAUGCAAACACUCCGGUGCAAGAUAUUAUCAAAUAUACCUGCCCGUUAAUUGGACAUAAGUCAGGCCAUAACUUGUCUCUUCUCCUACUUUUGAUUGCUAGUACCCUUCUUCUUGAGUAGGCUUCCAAACUUGCGGAACAAAGGUUUCUUCUUCUUCUGUUGUUGCUGCUUCGAAGGUGAGCUCUCACCAUCACCAUUUUCUGUUGAAGACAAACCAUUUAUCUGAUCGAAGUUCUCAACACCCUCAGCCUUGGAGUCCACUUCAUCCUCAAAGGAUUCCUGUUCUGGUUCUCUUUCUGGUGAAAACUCUUUCUUUUCAAUCUUGCAGCUCUCCCACAUCUUAAACUCAACUUCUACCGAGUCAUUUUCUUUUUCUUUGGUUUCAUCUUCUUUUGGUUUCCCAUUCACAUUCUCAACUUUGGCAGCUACCAUUGGAACAGUCUGGUUGUUAAAGCCAUUAUUCUGUUCCUGUGAAUUUUCUUUUCCCAAAUCCUCGUGUUGUUGUGGUGGAAGCUCUAUUUUGGGCUUCUCUUCUCUCACAUGCCCAUUUUCUUCAGAGAAUUCAACCACCUUUGGAAGCAAAUCAUAGUCCUUGUCACUGUCUGUAAGCUCGCCAUUCUCCUCAGUUUGCUUCCUGGCCAUAGCUUCUUCAAGCAAGUUAGAUAACUCCUCCACCUUCUUCAAAGAAAUAGCUUCCCUAGUUCGGAGCUCCUCGUUUUCUUGGAAAAGAUUCUGCAGUUCAUUUUCCUUGUCUAAUAAACUUUUCUUCAGUUUCAUGCCCUCAACAUUUGAUUCCCCAAGAGCUUCUUGCAAUGAAAUCACCUCAGCUUCAACUUCCUUUAGGCUAUCUUUCAACUGAGCUUCUUCCUCCUUUGUGGCACAAGCUUCCUCCUCAGUCUGCCUGAGCAAAUUUACCAGCCUAUCAAUUUCUCUUUCCAAAGAAGAGUGUUCUUCUUCUGAUUUCUUUACACGGUUCAUUAGAUUUUGUUCUUUUUGCUCCCACUCAGUCUUGGAGUUCUGAAAUUCAUUCUUGGAUUCUAAAAUAUUAUUUUUAAGAAGAUCAAUCUCAUGUUUUGCAUCAUCUAGCAUAGUCUCAUAUCUCUGGUUUGCUUCCGUCAGGACCAACCUUAGAUCCUCUAUCUGGGUUUCGUAAUUUUUCUGCUCCUCUUGACCGGAUAGCAGCUUUUCUUUGGCUUCCCUUGCUUCUGCAGACACUUCAUGUAAAGCUGAAGCUAAACUUUCCAUUGCCUUCUUGCUCUUUUCCUCCUCAUCUCUAGAAUACUCCAACUCAUUUAUAAGUUUGUUUCUCCCUUCUAAUAGACUUUGAACACUAGAAGCUGCAAGUUUCUCAUUGUUUAAAGCCUGAGCUUUCUCUUCCUUCACUAUAUCCAAAUCAGAAUUCAAAGACUCAACCUGUUUUGCUAAUUCAGAAAUUUCUUCCUUUGCCACACCAAGACAAUGCUCUGAUUCCUCAAGAUCCCCUUUCAGUUUUGCAAUUGUCAUUUCGAACAACCCCACCUUAUCUUUAAGGGCCGCAAUUUCACUUUCUGCAUCAUGUAAGAGAUCAUUGUUUCCCUCAAGUUGUUUCAUGACUGAACAUAAAGAUUCAGAGGCAGAUCUCUCCAACUUAUUUGAUUCUUCAAGCUGCAUCUCUAAUUCCUCUACCCUACUUUUCCACUCCUCCACUAAACUGCGCGCAUAAGAUUCAGCCAUCUUAGCAGCUUCUAACUCAACAUUAAGCUGUUCUAUGGAAGCCUCUCUUUCAAUAAACUUAUCCUCAAAAACCCUUGCUUUCUCAAGUUCUUGUUUCAAAGUCUCUAUCUCGUCCUUAAACCUAGCCACCAUCUUGUUGCUUUCAGUGGUCUCUGUUUCAAGCUUUGAAUCAAGUAAGGCCUUCAAACGUGUCAACUCAGCUGAAAGAAUCUCCACCUUAUCAGCAUGAAUCUCAGCAAUCUUAGUUGCAUCAUCAGCAUGGCUCAGUGCCUGAUUCUUUGCAUCAGUAGUCAUGGCCAGUUCUUGCUUCAUCUUUUGAAGCUCCUGAGUGGUAGAAAGAAGAGCAGCCACAUCCAAAGCAUGUUGGUUUCUCACAGUCUCCAGCUCUUUCUGCCAUUCCUCUUCCUUCUUUUGGGCUGCGUCAAUCCCAGCCUGUUCCAACUCAACAGCACGGAACUUCUCAAUCUCAGAAUUCUCCUCAGCUCUUCUUUGAGCCACCAAAGCUUCUUGAAGCUUCUCAUUUGCCUCUUCAGCAGCCUUCUGUGCUUGUUUCAGUUCAUCAAUUGCUUGUGCCUUCUCUUUCUCAAUCAAUCCUAUCUGCUCCUUUGCUUUCUUUAGAUCCUCCUGAAGAAGACUCAAUUGAGCCUGUAAUUCUGACCCCUUCACCACCCUCGUCUGUGGUUUUUCAGGUGGUGGAGUGACCUUAGAUAACCGUCGAUCAAUUGUAGGCUUUGAAGUAACAGAUCUUGGGGAACGGUCAACUGAAAAGCGUGAACUCUGCAGAGGAGCAGGUGAAUCAGGCUCUGAUUUAGUGGCUCCCCGGCUCAGUUUACUCACUCUAGGAGUUGCUGGUGAUGCUUUGCUGGGAGUUUCAGACAAACCAGAUCGGUACAAAUUUUACAGUAUCAUUAUUACAUCAUCAGAUGAAAAUUCGUUGCAGAUAAAAAUCCCAUGUAUUAGAAACACAAUGCAAGACACCCAAAGACAACCCAUUUCCUAAAUAUUGAACUAAUUUUCAAAUUAACAAUGGAUCUAUGCCCAAGAUGGGGACUUUGAAUCAAUAAUUUUCUUUUCAUAACAAAAUCAAAUGCACCUAAUACCAUAUGCAUGCAAUUCCAUAAAUCAAAUUUCAAAUUUCGAAUUUCCUGAAGAAACUAUACAUAAAGAGAUCCAAUUACGAAACCAGAACAUCACAAGAAAGUCACGCAUGGACGAUGAACGGCAAAAAUGAAGUAAAACCCGCAUCAAAUUUUCAAUCAAAAAGCAAAAUUGAGAAAAGUGUGUAUGCAUACAGUAGUGACAAUGAAAAAACAGAAGGGGAGGGGGAGACAGAAAGACCCUUCGAAUUCAAAUAAAGGAGUUGAGGGGGAAAAAAAAGAAACCCUUAACGAAAAUCGAUCCAACCCACUGAUUAGAAAAGUAGGAAGAAAAUUCCACAACCGCAAUCAAAUUUCAAAUUUUACAAAACCCAUAAAAACUGCAAAAGAUAUUCAGAUCUAGGCACAGAGAAAAUAAAGCGACCAUGGUCCUGUAUACUUACUUGGUCUUGGAAGACAUGUUUGUUCUUGACGAUGAUGACAUAGAAGAGAAAUGAAAAAUGGGAAAAGAGUUGAAAAUGUGCGAGUUCAGGUAAAUGAGGAUACGGGUUCUCUAUCGAAUGCUAAAAUGCUGACAUAGUGUAAGAGAAUGUAGUUUGGCUGUUCCCUUUCCUUUCUUUUCUUUUCUUUUCUUUUAAACUACAAUGAACUCCUAUUUCUAACUUUUUUUCCCCUUCUUUUUCCCCCACACAUGGAAAGACUAUCCAUCCAUAUUAACAUGCACUGCUAUAUUUGGCCCCACAUGGUCACACUCAAAAUUUGGUAUGAUAAUUUUCUUGAGUAUUCCCUGCAGCAUUUCCAACACUGGUAAUUUCAUCAUGCAAAUUAACUUCAGUUAAAAGUGCCUCUUUGUGAAAACCUUUUAUACACAUUUUUCAAUUAAUAUUUCUCUAUAUUACUGAAUUUCAUUAGCAACAAAAUAAAGCUCCUAUGAUGGAAGAAGUGAUGUUGACAGAGCAAAUAGCACAAAGUUCAAAACCUACAAAACCUAUUAGAAAUAACUAAAGACCUCGAAUUUCUAUAACGUUUCUUUGUCAUACUAUAAUUAUAAGAUGAAUUCAUCCUGCAUAAUCUAUUAUCCAAGUAUCAAAGCCAGAAAUUGCGUACCUCAAAUCACCAGCAAACGGAAAUUGAAAAGUGUCGGUAAAUUGUAAUUGAACAACACAAACUCAACUAAAUCAUAUCAAUUAAUAGGUCUAUAAAGUUGAGUUUUUCGUAUUUCGUUUUCUGUGCAGCUAAAUAAUUUAUAGUGAAAAGUUCACACCUUUUUCCACAAUUUUCUCGGCAACUAAACGAAACAGCGAAUAAUUCUUCACCCAAAAAAUCUAAUAGCAGAAAAGAGACACAAUUACCUCCGGAGCCAGUUCAGAAGGGAAUCCCAGAGACCCAUUUGGAGAAAACAGAAAUUUUUGGUCUCAAAAGAGCGAAUUAUAGAAAAUAAGACAACCCAAUAAAUUAAAAUUGAAGGAACCCUAAAUUGAUAGAUGGAAGAUAGGGAAGGAAACGGUAAACUGAAGCAAAGGAAAAAAAAUAAAAAGCAAGAAGGAAACUUCUAGCUGUGGAAGGAAUCUAUUUAUAAACUAGGACGUUUGUGUCAGUUUACUGGUAUGUUGUGUUGUGGUAAUAGCCGCUGCCCAUUAGUCACUUCUCUACAUUCGACAUUCAUGGAUAAUAACGCACCAGGAACUAUGGGUCUCGCUUCGCUUCCAUUUUUUGGUUUUCUCUACUGUCUUCACAUAAACUGUACAAAUGCCCACCUCCAGCCCUUAAAAGAAUUCGAUCACCUUCCCAUCUUGGUUUCUCAGAGACUGGAUUAGCAACUACUAGAUUAAUGUCCAAUCAAUUUCACUGCAAUUAAGUUUGAG
rnacentral:misc_RNA from 1 species